CCUACGGGGGGCAGCAGUCGAGAAUCAUUCACAAUGGGGGAAACCCUGAUGGUGCGACGCCGCGUGGGGGAAUGAAGGUCUUCGGAUUGUAAACCCCUGUCAUGUGGGAGCAAAUUAAAAAGAUAGUACCACAAGAGGAAGAGACGGCUAACUCUGUGCCAGCAGCCGCGGGAAUACAGAGGUCUCAAGCGUUGUUCGGAAUCACUGGGCGUAAAGCGUGCGUAGGCUGUUUCGUAGGUCGUGUGUGAAAGGCGCGGGCUCAACCCGCGGACGGCACAUGAUACUGCGAGACUAGAGUAAUGGAGGGGGAAGCGGAAUUCUCGGUGUAGCAGUGAAAUGCGUAGAUAUCGAGAGGGACACUCGUGGCGAAGGCGGGUUCCUGGACAUUAACUGACGCUGAGGCACGAAGGCCAGGGGAGCGAAAGGGAUUAGAUACCCUAGUAGUC
rnacentral:rRNA from 1 species